GUCCAAAAGUGUCUGUGUGUUUUAAAAUUAAAAACGAGCGUUUAUAAUUGAUAGUAUAAUUAGUGAUAUUGUAGGUUUGACAGAACACGUGAUCGCGACCUCCCGCGAUCCCGUGAUAUGAUAUCUGAGGAUUAUGGGAAAUGUAUGCCGGGGCUGAGAGACCGGCGCGAUUGUACACGCCCAUCUCUCAACGUCGGCAUACUAGUGGGAGGGCACUUGAAAGCCCUAGACAUCAAUGGACUGAAUGGCCAUUACAUAAUAAGGGGAAAGAGAAAGAAGACGACCCUGGGGAGAUAACAUUAGUGUCUGCCGGAAGGUGGGACCACCAUGCAGGGCGCCCGACAGAAUAAGGGCGCCCCACCUGGUGGCCACCCACCGGUAUUGCCAAUGGGAGGAGUAGGAGAGAAAUUUUUUUUUUUUAUUAAACUGACACAUACAGACUAGGAUAAUCUCCUUUAAAAAUCAGAAAUAGUAAUAAC